CUGGCAGUAAUCUCCACUGCCCUUCAGAAACUCCAUAAAUGUGUGACCAAGAACACCACAGAACUGCUGUUUAAAAGAAAGAGAAAAGGUUGUUUUCCAAUUCAAAAGGAACAGGUUAUGCUAUUUAAUAGGCAUAAAAUAAGCAUUCACAAAUAAAUUACUUCAAAUUGAAAUUACUGAUCUAAUGAUCUAAUACAGAGAACCCUUAAAGAAUAAUAUGUGAACUGUCACAUAUGGUCAAUAUCCCUUACCCAUAUCCUUCAAUUAGCUAUGUCUUUUAAUGGUUGGUUUUACAUUAUAAAAUAUACAUACAAUUUCCUAUAUUGAUUUUCCCAAAUAUCAUCCCAUAUUACAAACUUUAUGGAAACUUUGAAGCUGUUAGUCUUCCCAUAAUGUAUUAACUUUUCUCAAGGCUUAACCAAUAUUCUAUUAUCCUUUGAGAAAAAACAAAAUAGGUUUUCAAGAUAAUUCCAUAUACACUAUCUUAUUUGAUCCUUAAAAGUUAAUGAAUUUGUAAAGUAUUUUAUGUUUAUAAAUUAAAACGAAACAUUUCCCACUUAUAACCACAAAUGAUAUUCAUGGUUUCAGUAAUAUUCUUUAUUUUAAAACCAAAAUCUCACUGGUCCAGCCUAGAACCAAAUCUAAUCCAAAGGGUAUAAUAAGGAGGAAGUGAUGGGUGGUAAAAAUUACUUUGCAUUUCUUUCAUAGGUCUCAAAAGUAGGGUAACUACUACCAUCAAUAAAUUCAUUUAUAUUGUACCCACGUUUCCCUUAAAGAACCUAAGUCAGUUUUAUGUCAAUAUAAAACAUUAAGUGAAUAUUCACAUGUUAAUUUCAGAAUUUGCACUCAAAAACCAUCGAUGUCAAUGUAAGUUUUCUUCCAAGCAGUUUAUCAAAAUUUUGUGUACUCAGGAAUAAAGAAAGGAUUAUUAAUAGUAGGUUAACAAGAGCACCAAGUGCCAGCCACUGUCCCAGUUUAUAUACAUUCUUAUGGGUAAACUAUCAAAUAAAAUAAAAUUUUGCAACAUGUUUCCAUUGAUUUUCUAUACUUAAAUGCAAGCAUUUAAAAGACUUACAAUUAAAUUCAAAAGAUCUGCUACUACUUUCACUUUACACCUUAAAAUAGAUCCCCAUGUUAUAGUUUCUAGAACAAGUUUCCUAAAUUUUAAGAAUAACCCACGUGAAAAUCUAGCAGAUCAAAGAUGGAUCAAGUCAGACCCAGUUCAUUUGUCUGUCAAACAGAACAAAAGGUCCUUCUGAAAGAUGUUUUAUUAUUCCAAAUUUCUUUAAAUAAG